rnacentral:rRNA from 1 species
ACAGAGGGGGCAAGCGUUAUUCGGAAUUACUGGGCGUAAAGGGCUCGUAGGCGGCCAACUAAGUCAGACGUGAAAUCCCUCGGCUUAACCGGGGAACUGCGUCUGAUACUGGAUGGCUUGAGUGUGGGAGAGGGAUGCGGAAUUCCAGGUGUAGCGGUGAAAUGCGUAGAUAUCUGGAGGAACACCGGUGGCGAAGGCGGCAUCCUGGACCAUUACUGACGCUGAUGAGCGAAAGCCAGGGGAGCAAACGGGA